rnacentral:lncRNA from 1 species
CGCGGGGGAUGUGUUUGGCAUGGGGACGCACUGUUACAGUUGCGCUCCUGGUUGGCUUUGUGUUUCCGCGGUGUUGGUAGAGUCUCGGUGUUUCUACCUCUUAGCACCCUUUCCUGCCACCCUUUGUCCUGUGGAAGCCCGGAGACAUCAGCGGCUGCAAUUUUGCUACUCGCUGCUCGGCAUGGAACGGUCAGAAAUGAGCCCGUGAGUCCUGAGUUGGUGGCAGCUGCAUCUGCUGCUCUGUUUUGACAAGCAAACAAGCCAGAACUGCUCAGGCAGCUCCGUAGCAUGAGGAAGAGUCAGGGGCACAGAGAGAUGGAGAGAGACCUAGUUAGAGAGCGAACCAUGUGCUGGAUUUAGCCAGUCCUGCAUUUUUCUAUACUUCAAAUCAAAACGGGCCAUGCUUCACAUCUACCCAUGAUGAAUAGGGGUACUUUGAUUAAGAAUAAAUAGAGCUGACUGAAUUCUGAACAAGAAAAACAUAUUCAAGGGGAAGAGAUGUAAUAGUUUUGACGUGACGACAGUUACUAAAGAAGCACCUGAACAGACACAUCACCUUCACUUUGGGAUGUGGAAUUUGCUAAAUAAGCCACAGAAAAUGAACAUCCCUUCAGAAUGGGUUUGAAGAGCUGAUCCAGUGGAUUAAAGAGGGGAAACUGGGAGUUUCCAAUUAACAAUGAAGCAGGAGCUGACUAAGGCUUUGGAACAGAAACCAGAUGAUGCACAAUAUUAUUGUCAAAGAGCUUAUUGUCACAUUCUUCUUGGGAGUUACUAUGGAUCUGUAAAUAACUGACGAAAAACCCAUCUGUUUCUACGUA